UGAUAAUGGUGAGAGAAAUUUCAAAGCAAACCCUUAAAUCUUUCCCAAGCUUGGUAAAGAUUUUCUCCUUAUUUCUACCUGAAACUUAAAAUUUUGCUUCUCGAGCA
rfam:Capsicum annuum cultivar Zunla-1 chromosome 6, whole genome shotgun sequence